rnacentral:rRNA from 1 species
ACUGAAUAGAUACCCUGGUAGUCCACGCCGUAAACGAUGAUUACUAGGUGUGUGUGGUAUCGACCCCACACGUGCCGCAGCCAACGCAAUAAGUAAUCCGCCUGGGGAGUACGGCCGCAAGGUUGAAACUCAAAGGAAUUGACGGGGGCCCGCACAAGCGGUGGAGCAUGUGGAUUAAUACGUCACUAACCGUAGAACCUUACCCAGGCUGGACAUCCGUGGAAUCUUCCUGAAAGGGAGGAGUGCUCGCAAGAGAGCCACGAGACAGGUGUUGCAUGGCUGUCGUCAGCUCGUGUCGUGAGGUGUUGGGUUAAGUCCCGCAACGAGCGCAACCCUCACGGCCUGUUGCCAGCACUCGCGAGAGGAUGGGCACUCUGGCCGAACUGCCCGGGUAACCGGGAGGAAGGUGGGGAUGACGUCAAGUCGGCAUGGCCCUUACGCCUGGGGCUUCACACAUGCUACAAUGGCCGGUACAGAGGGUCCCAAGCCCGCGAGGGGGAGGCAAUCCCAAAAACGCCGGUCUCAGUUCGGAUCGCAGG